GUGGGGAAUAUUGGACAAUGGGGGGAACCCUGAUCCAGCCAUGCCGCGUGUGUGAAGAAGGCCUUUUGGUUGUAAAGCACUUUAAGCGAGGAGGAGGCUACCGAGAUUAAUACUCUUGGAUAGUGGACGUUACUCGCAGAAUAAGCACCGGCUAACUCUGUGCCAGCAGCCGCGGUAAUACAGAGGGUGCAAGCGUUAAUCGGAUUUACUGGGCGUAAAGCGCGCGUAGGUGGCCAAUUAAGGCAAAUGUGAAAUCCCCGAGCUUAACUUGGGAAUUGCAUUCGAUACUGGUUGGCUAGAGUAUGGGAGAGGAUGGUAGAAUUCCAGGUGUAGCGGUGAAAUGCGUAGAGAUCUGGAGGAAUACCGAUGGCGAAGGCAGCCAUCUGGCCUAAUACUGACACUGAGGUGCGAAAGCAUGGGGAGCAAACAGGAUUAGAAACCCUAGUAGUCC
rnacentral:rRNA from 1 species